rnacentral:rRNA from 1 species
CCGCACGCGCGCUACACUGACAGAGCCAGCGAGUACUCCCUUGGCCGAAAGGCCCGGGUAAUCUUGUUAAACUCUGUCGUGCUGGGGAUAGAGCAUUGCAAUUAUUGCUCUUCAACGAGGAAUCCCUAGUAAGCGCAAGUCAUCAGCUUGCGUUGAUUACGU